rnacentral:lncRNA from 1 species
UUAUGACAUGGUUUUCAUCAUCCACUCUUCUUGGAUCUGUCCUUACACGUAGCGGUACCAGAAACUUAACAUGGCCAAAUGACAGCAUAGCAUUACAGUAGUUAUUGAUUUGGUGAUCCCGAACAAAGUUCUUCGGUAUCGUCUCAUGUGUGUUUCUAUGGCAUGGUGUUCAAAUUGUUUCUGGUAGUUGGGGCGGCUGUUGUGGUGGCGGUGCUUGGUGCGGUUGCAUAGAUGUGUAGACAUUGA